AUGUUGGUCCUGUGCGACAGGGUUCCAUGAACCAUGUCAGGCGGGGAACCGAGCAGCAUUAAGUGGCAACUUCUGUGCGCCGCAGGUAACCUGCAUUUC
rfam:Clostridium sp. CAG:242 genomic scaffold, scf128